AGCGAACGCUGGCGGCAGGCCUAACACAUGCAAGUCGAACGGACCCUUCGGGGUUAGUGGCGGACGGGUGAGUAGCACGUGGGAACGUGCCCUUUGGUUCGGAACAACACAGGGAAACUUGUGCUAAUACCGGAUAAGCCCUUCGGGGGAAAGAUUUAUUGCCAUUGGAGCGGCCCGCGUUGGAUUAGGUAGUUGGUGAGGUAAAGGCUCACCAAGCCUGCGGUCCAUAGCUGGUCUGAGAGGAUGAACAGCCACAUUGGGACUGAGACACGGCCCAAACUCCUACGGGAGGCAGCAGUGGGGAAUCUUGCGCAAUGGGCGAAAGCCUGACGCAGCCAUGCCGCGUGAAUGAUGAAGGUCUUAGGAUUGUAAAAUUCUUUCAGCGGGGGCGAUAAUGACGGUACCCGCAGAAGAAGCCCCGGCUAACUUCGUGCCAGCAGCCGCGGUAAUACGAAGGGGGCUAGCGUUGCUCGGAAUUACUGGGCGUAAAGGGAGCGUAGGCGGAUAGUUUAGUCAGAGGUGAAAGCCCAGGGCUCAACCUUGGAAAUGCCUUUGAUACUGGCUAUCUUGAGUAUGGGAGAGG
rnacentral:rRNA from 1 species